GGAGAGGUGGCAGAGUGGUCUAUCGUACCUGACUCGAAAUCAGGCGUGUCGCAAGGCACCGAGGGUUCGAAUCCCUCCCUCUCCGCCA
rnacentral:tRNA from 1 species